AUCCAGCUAACGAGUCCCAAAUAGGACGAAACGUGCGUCAUGGAU
rnacentral:hammerhead_ribozyme from 1 species